GACGAACGCUGGCGGUGUGCUUAACACAUGCAAGUCGAACGGUAAGGCCCUUUCGGGGGUACACGGGUGGCGAACGGGUUAGUAACACGUGCUUAACCUGCCCUCAUCUCUGGGAUAACAGUCGUAAUCGGUUGCUAUUUCUUCAUAUGAGCUUGCUAGGCCUCUUGUGUGUUGGAAAGAUUUUUUUUGUUUGGGGAUGGACUCGCGGCCUAUCAGCUUGUUGGUGAGGUCUUGGCUCACAAAGGAUUCGACGGGUCGCCGGCAGGAGAGCGGGACCGGCGACAUGGGGAAUGGGAAACGAGACAAAGUCCUACGGGAGGCAGCAGGGGGGAAUAUUGCACAAUGGACGGAAGUCGGAUGCAGGAACGACGAGUGCGGGAUGACGGACGUCGGGUUGUAAGCCGCUAUCAAUUGUGACGAAGGUUGAUAGUGACGGUAGCAGUAGAAGAAGCACCGGCUAACUACGUG
rnacentral:rRNA from 1 species